rnacentral:rRNA from 1 species
GUGGGGAAUAUUGGACAAUGGGCGAAAGCCUGAUCCAGCCAUGCCGCGUGUGUGAAGAAGGUCUUCGGAUUGUAAAGCACUUUAAGUUGGGAGGAAGGGCAGUAAGUUAAUACCUUGCUGUUUUGACGUUACCGACAGAAUAAGCACCGGCUAACUUCGUGCCAGCAGCCGCGGUAAUACGAAGGGUGCAAGCGUUAAUCGGAAUUACUGGGCGUAAAGCGCGCGUAGGUGGUUUUGUAAGUUGGAGGUGAAAUCCCCGGGCUCAACCUGGGAACUGCCUCCAAAACUGCAUGACUAUAGUACGGUAGAGGGUAGUGGAAUUUCCUGUGUAGCGGUGAAAUGCGUAGAUAUAGGAAGGAACACCAGUGGCGAAGGCGACUACCUGGACUGAUACUGACACUGAGGUGCGAAAGCGUGGGGAGCAAACAGGAUUAGAUACCCGUGUAGUCC